rnacentral:rRNA from 1 species
UACGUAGGUGACCAGCGUUGUCCGGAAUUACUGGGCGUAAAGCGUGCGCAGGCGGUUCGUUGUGUCGGCGGUGAAAGCCCCGGGCUUAACCUGGGAAUGGCCGUCGAAACUGGCGAACUGGAGUGUGGCAGAGGGGGGUGGAAUUCCGCGUGUAGCAGUGAAAUGCGUAGAGAUGCGGAGGAACACCGAUGGCGAAGGCAGCCCCCUGGGCUGACACUGACGCUCAGGCACGAAAGCGUGGGGAGCAAACAGG